rnacentral:lncRNA from 12 species
AGAUUGCAAAGGGUCUGUGAAGUAUAAAAUGCACUGGGCUUCCUCAAUUCCAUUUCUGUGCUAUCAGAGUGUGUCCCAUCUAUCCAUCCACCUGCCUACAUGCGAAGAAAUCAGCAACAAUGGUUUCAGCACAGUAGUUAAAUUUCUCUGAAAACCAGACAUAGAUUUUACUGAAGGAAGAUCAUGGAGAGGAGUACAGAAUAUUGUCAUACUGCAGGGCAGAACACUCAGAGGAAGUAUAUCCCAUUGCAAAGUGAAAUGGUGAGGUAAUGGUAACAUUAUUUUAUAAACUGC